ACUUUAGUGAAAAUAAAUAUUGGAAAAUAUCGAGUUUUGUGAAGCCAAUUUAAUAUGGCGCAACAAAGUUUAUUUCUGAAGUGAUUUCCAAACUAUUUACGCCUUUUUUCAGUGAAAACGACUUCAAACUUUAAGAUACUGGGAUUUAGAUUUUCUCAAAGUUGUUUUUGGUCAGAACAAUGGCGAAAACUACGAUUUGUUUAGUUGUUUCGUUGUUUAUAGCUGUGUUGUCACAAAGAGAUUGCAUGAUCAAAGAUAAAUCAGAUCCAUGCAAGAGAUAUAACACGAGAGAUAUUCCGUACCUAGACAGCAGACAUCCUUCCGUCAGAUACACUGACAAAACUGCCGAUGUUAACAAAUACUGUGACCUUUAUGCGCUGGAUGAUGGGGUCUAGUAUAUCAGUGACUACAACAUAACCCAGACGUGUGUACAACAAGAAUCAUGUGGUUCACGACUUCCCAUUUGGUUAAAUGGGACAAUGCCAACAUCUGUAGAAGGAGCUGUUAAUCGAUCAGCCUGUCUUAGGACGUAUGAUGGGUGUUGUGCAAAAUCGUACAUGUUAAUGGUCAAGAACUGCAUUUUUUACAAUGUGUACUGCUUCUGGAAUCUUCCACAUGACUGUCCUGAAAGAUACUGUUUCGACGUUGACCUUUCAGAGGCCACCACUACUACUACAACUACCACAACUACGUCGACAACUUCACCAAUUUCAGUAACUACGCAAAAGGUUCCAUCCACUUCAGAGACAGCUGACACAGCGAAAAGAAACGGAAAUGGUUGUAGGAAUGUAAUAAUCGCAUUGUCGUCUGUGAUCGUUGUAUCUGUUUCAGCUAACCUCGUGCUGUCUGGUCGAAUUGUAGUUCUUAAAAAAAAACUGGCGACCUCUGUUCUACCAAAUCCAGUGAAUGGGUAUGCGAAGUUUCAUCUAGUAAUAUAAAUAGUUUCUUAAAACAUAACGCCGUCGCGUUGUUUAUCGUCUGUUUUACAACUUUUCAGAGUUGAGGUGAGUAGUAUUUGAUAUUCGAAAGCUCCACGCAUCGAACGAUGGACCAUGGUAAACCAGAUCAUGAACCACAAGAAUAUCUUGUUUAUUUUCAUUUAAAUACGCUCGUUAAAACAUGAGGAUUUAAUGUAUAUUGUACUGUAUUAAUCCAAGUAGGAAGUUUAUAGGACAAUAUACAACGCUUGACUUCCUUUUUGUUUAACUCAAAUACAAAAUGAGCCUAUUUAUAUAUACAGCUUCAGUAUUUAACAAGGUGAUUGGUAACACCGAUGAAUGCGCCCUGAAAAUACUGUAGCAUAAGAGGCUUUACAAUCACGGAUGUUAUGUUAAGGAAAAAUGUGCUCAGCAAGACUUGUGGUUCAUUUACACUGCGCUCCCUCUCACUGAUCUCUAUGAAUAUGUAAAGUAUGAAGUGAAUAGCUUACAUAGUAUUCGAGUUAUGCUCCGGAUUAGAUUUUAAAAAGGGAGAUAAAUAAAAAAGUUAGACCACCUAGAGUUAUGAUUCCUUGUCACUGCAUUCUCUCUCACUGACCUCUAUCAAUAUGUAAAGUAUGAAGGCAAUAGUUUACAAAGUAUGCAAGUUUUUCCCCGGACAAAGUUUUCAAAAAGGGAGAUAACUCAGAAAUAAGACAAGAUACAAGAUACAAGAAGAUUUAUUUAACGUCGGAUAAGAAUAAAACAUAUAACACUAGCUUAAAGCUAUUUUCCGACAAAGGAAUUUGUUUACUUGUCACUAGACACUCUCUUACUGACCGCUAUCAAUAUGUAUAGUAUCAAGUCAAUAUCUUACAUAGUAUUUGAGUUAUGCCCUUAACAAGGUUUUCAAAUACAGGGAGAUAAUCAACAAAUGGACACACCUAGAGUCAAAAUCCUUAUGUAUUUUCAGUAAUUGAAAUAUGCAGAUAGUUUAAUGUUAUAAAACUGUUUCAGGGAAAAGGUUGCGAUAUUGUUAAGUAACACCCACAUAAUGCAUGACAUAACUACGGUGUCGUUCCAGUUUAAAUUAUGAAGGAAACUACUCGGAAUUCUCCGGGAAUUAUUUCAUGUACACACAGGACACCUAAGAACCGUAACGAACGUCUGAAGAUCACUAGAUGCUUUCUUGUUUCUUUACAUGACGCUUGAGCGAGAUCGAACCGAAAGAAAUGAAGAGUAGCGACCAUAACCACCAGGUCACGAAUGACUGUUUACAAUUUUCAACAUUGUGUUAAAAUUGAAAUAAUGUGCACUUUUUGUUUACAGAAAACUGGCGAACACUGUUCUACCAAAUCCAGUGAAUGGGGAAAAGAUUGCAAUAUAUUAGACCACAUCAGCUGGACCAGCUAAAAGUGUGAAAAAGUAAAAUAAAGAGAUGUCAUCUUCUAUUUAACAUUAUCAUGUAACCGUUCAAAUCUGGAAAUAUGAUUGUGUUUUUCUUUUCUGUAUUUAUAGUUUGUUUUGACUUAUGAUACGAGGAAAUUAAAGCCAGUGGCCACAUUUUCAUAUUCACUUAUUGUUAUUUAUAUAUAUGAUAGUUCUACAGCCAGAGACGAAACAAUCAAAACGAUAUCAGAUGGAAAUAUAUAAAUAUUUACUAAUGUCAAUAUUCUAAACAUACCAUUAGUUACAGCAACAUAUGAUUUUGAAAUCUGUAGAGGUACUACAUGAACUGUUUUAUUGCAUAAGAAUGUCAAAAAAAUGUAAAUAUUUUUCGUUUGAUUAAUAAUGAAUGUAACAAACUUCAUGUUUGUAAUGUUUUGAUUCUUAUGAGUAUUACAUGUGUUGCAUCUAUAUUCUUAAUUUGUACAAAGUUCAGUAGCAAGAGUUAAAACUUAUUUAAGAGUAAAGGUCGUUCAUAAAGAUGGAGUUUAUCGCCUGAAACAGACAUAUUUCAAAACUGGUUGCUAAAUUUUAUAACAGUUUUACACGUUGCAUUAAUUCUUGAAUUGUACAAAACACCAAAAGCUUGGAUUUUAUCAUAUAUUUAGGCAAAGAACAAUUCUUACAAUUCUUAUACUAUUCUGAUUGUUAAUUUAAAUUUGCUUUGUUUUUACACCUGUGUGAUGUGUU